rnacentral:rRNA from 1 species
GACGAACGCUGGCGGCGUGGAUUAGGCAUGCAAGUCGAACGGUAUCAUCCUUUCGGGGGUGAGAGAGUGGCGAACUGGUGAGUAACACGUAGGUUAUCUACCCUCAAGACGGGGACAACCCAGGGAAACUUGGGCUAAUACCGGAUGUGAGCAACUUUUAGUUGUUUGAAAGGUGGCGUAAGCUGUCGCUUGGGGAUGAGCCUGCGUCCUAUUAGUUAGUUGGUGAGGUAACGGCUCACCUAGGCAAUGAUAGGUAGGCGGCCUUAACGGGUGGUCGCCCACACUGGGAUUGAGAUACGGCCCAGACUCCUACGGGAGGCAGCAGUCGAGAAUAGUCUACAAUGGUCGGAAGACUGAUAGUGCGACGCCGCGUGAACGAUGAAUCCCUUCGGGGUGUAAAGUUCUUUUAUAUGUGAGCAGUGCUUCUUAUAUUAAACAGUAUGGGGAGAGAGAUAUUAGCAUAUGAAUAAAGCAACGGCUAACUCCGUGCCAGCAGCCGCGGUAAGA